GAUGAACGCUAGCGGCAGGCCUAAUAUAUGCAAGUCGAACGGUAAGGCCCUUUCGGGGGUACACGAGUGGCGGACGGGUGCGUAACGCGUAUGCAACAUACCUUCAAGCGGGGAUAUGCCAGGGAAACUUGGUGCAACACCCCAUAGCAUUUCGGGACCGCAUGGUCUUGGGAUUAAAUAUUUAUAGCUUGGAGAUUGGCAUGCGUGACAUUAGCUAGUUGGCGGGUAACGGCCCACCAAGGCGACGAUGUCUAGCUGGUCUGAGAGGAUGAUCAGCCACACUGGGACUGAGACACGGCCCAGACUCCUACGGGAGGCAGCAGUAGGGAAUAUUGGACAAUGGGGGGAACCCUGAUCCAGCCAUGCCGCGUGAGGGAAGAAGGUCCUCUGGAUUGUAAACCUCUUUUGGCGGGGGACAAACCUGCACUAUACGUGCAGCUGAGGUACCCGCAGAAUAAGCACCGGCUAAACUCCGUGCCAGCAGCCGCGGU
rnacentral:rRNA from 1 species